rnacentral:rRNA from 1 species
CCUACGGGAGGCAGCAGUGGGGAAUCUUGCGCAAUGGCCUAACGGCUGACGCAGCGACGCCGCGUGUGGGAUGAAGCUCCUCGGAGUGUAAACCACUGUUGCCCGGGACGAAUAGCUCGAUUAAUCGAGCCUGACGGUACCGGGUGAGGAAGCACCGGCUAACUCCGUGCCAGCAGCCGCGGUAAUACGGGGGGUGCAAGCGUUGUCCGGAAUCACUGGGCGUAAAGGGCGCGUAGGUGGUUUGAUAAGGGUGUGGUGAAAGUCCGGGGCUCAACCCCGGAUCUGCCGUGCCGACUGUCAAGCUCGAGGACUGUAGAGGCAGACGGAAUUCCGGGUGUAGCGGUGGAAUGCGUAGAGAUCCGGAGGAAGACCGGUGGCGAAGGCGGUCUGCUGGGCAGUUUCUGACACUGAGGCGUGACAGCGUGGGGAGCAAACAGGAUUAGAUACCCUGGUAGUCCACGCCGUAAACGAUGGGUACUAGGUGCCUGGGGGAGCGACCCUCUGGGUGCCGGCGCUAACGCAGGAAGUACCCCGCCUGGGGAGUACGACCGCAAGGUUGAAACUCAAAGGAAUUGACGG